UAUUUUUUAAAUGAGCUUCUUGUAGUGGAAGUUGCUAUUAUUAAUGUAGUGUUUAUAAUGUCCAGUUUAACUGUAAGUACUAAUGCUUUGGUACCUGGUAAUGAUGCUCAUAGAGUCACUUUUAGGGACUUGGAAAGUGAUAAUGUUGUAUUAUGUUUAAUAAUAACAAGUUUUAAUUUGAAUCUUACAGACCUGAGGACUUUGGUAUGAAGAGGAAUGCUCUUUUGCUCUUUUCUCAGCCCAGUGCUCACUUACGUUUGAUAAGUAUUGAAGUACCAGAAAUCAGAGUUCUUAGUUGCUUUCUGGCUCAGCUAAAAACUGACUGGCUAAUUCAGGCAGAAAUGGGACUAAUUUUAAAAAGUUUCAGAGGGAAGACUUUUAGGAUGCUACAAAUAUUUUAUAAUUGGAUCUAGGUGGAGACUUCACAGGUGUUUACAUAUCAAGUUCCAUACUUAAGAUUUUUGCCCUUUAUAUAAGUCAUACCUCAAUAUUUUUUUAAUGAGGAAUCUGGAGGAAUAGACUUGGAAAAUAAGCAGAGCUAAGAGAGGCUAGGUGAUCAGAAUGACAGCAACCAGGGCUGACUGAUUAGGGUGCUGCUGUUCUCACCACUGGCACCAAACACAGUCCCGUGCACACCACUGCAAUUAGUUUUGUUUUUUUUUAAUUUUUAAAAAAUGUUUGUUUUUGAGAGAGAGAGAAGACCGAGUUGGGGAGGAGCAGAGAGCGAGGGAGACAGAAUCCGAAGCAGGCUCCAGGCUCUGAGCUGUCAACACAGAGCCCAAUGAGGGGCCCGAUCUCGCAAACCUUGAGAUGGCUAUCUGAGCCAAAGUCUGACGCUUAACCAACUGAGCCACACAGGUGCCCCUGGAAUUGGUUAUAUUGCAUCGUUCCUGAUUCAAAGUCCCUGACAGAAGCAUCAGAUUGUGCCCCAGCUUCCAGGUGUCAGGGAGGGAGCAACUAGCUAGCAUCCUUUCCUUGGAAUUUACACAACAGUAAAUUCUAUGAAUUUAAGAAGGGGCUUCAGAUGCCAGGCCGCCUGACAGUGACAAAAUAUCACACUUUCCUGCCUUCAUCUUACUCUAUUGCCCCCAAACUGGAGUCUUUCUCUCACUCCCCUUACCCAACCCAUCAACAGUUCUAUGAUACAUCCUGAAACUGUGCACUUACUUGUGUCACUACUAUACCCUAGACCCAAGCCACCAUCAUCUCUCAAUCUCUUACUGCUUGUUUCUUCUCUUUGCUAUCACUCUCCUCUCUCCACACUCACAAUCCAUCCUGUCCACAGAAGCCAAAGUCAUCUUUAAAAAAAAAAGAUAAACUGCUAUAUAAUUUCUUCAGCCUCUUCUCUUCAGCCUGAAUUUCUUCAGUUCUCUUCUCUAGCAACACUGAGGUCUUGCUUGCUGCCUUGGGAUCUUUGCACUUGCCAUUUUCUCUUUGUGGAGUGCUCCUCAUCCAUAUUUGACUUGAGUGGUUAUUUUUUUGUCAUUUCACUUGUCUGCUCAAAUGCCACUUCAGAGGCUGCCUCUGAAAACCCCAUCAGUAGCCUGCCUUGAAAACUGGGGGAGGAAGAAGGUAGAGAUUUGUCGCUUGGAACAAGUACCAAAUAGUUAUGGUACUAUUUGGUUAAACGAUGGACAGUUAUAACUUUAGAAAAUGUUUACCUUUAAACCAAAUUUAGGAAGAAAAACUGAAAAACAGCAUAUCUGCACCCUUACAUAUCUAGUUCACUGCCAUCUGUGUAAGAUUUAUAACAGAAGAUGUUCAGUUAAUUAUUAAUGAAUGAAUACAAAAGGAUUCUCAGAGAAUGGUUGCCCUUUUGUCAGGAAAAGAUUAAGGGCCAUGAGAUGCAAUGUGUAUGUAAUUAUUCAAAUAUUUACUGCUGAGUAGUAAUUAUUUGUGGUUAAGAAAGUUAUCUCUUUUUUUUUAUGACUAUGUUUCUUGUGGAAGGGGAAACAGCCUUGGGAAAAUUAGUAACUUAAAAAUUUAGUGGGUUGGUAAAUUUUAGGCAAUAGUUUUUUGUUUUUUGUUUUUGCUGCAGAAUCGCAAUGUUUCAAUAGAAACAAUUAUUUAAAUAUUGUGUAUAUGAAAAAAGUGUUUCUCACCAUAAGGAAGGUUGGUCUCUGAGAGAGCUUUUGUUAAAAUGGGUCAUUUAUUUGUUUACAGAAAUCAUGAGCAAAAAAACAUCCUGAUUCAUUUUAGUGUGCACUUUUUGCUAGAACUGGAAAAACCUAUUUUCCAUUUUAGUAAAAGAAAAUAUUUUCAUAAAGUUGAAUGAACCCUAUAAGUAAGACUCUUAUUAGAAAGAGUCUGCUAUUAGAAUAGCAGAGACAAUUUGGGGGGACAGACACUACAUUUAAUGUUUUUUAUCUUUCUCAAUGUCAGGUGUUUGUUUUAAGCAAGUGAGAAAAAUUCCUACAUACUUCCCCUGGAUGGGGUUAACUUAAUCCUUAUCUGUUUGAUAAGGCUACUGGCAUGCUUUUAAGUCAUUUGAGUUAAUCUAGGUUUUUUGUUGUUGUUGUUUUGCUUAACGGAGGUAUUUAUGAAGUGAAAACUUGGUGUUGGCCUCCACAUUCUACAUACUUCUUUGACUGGAAACUCCUCUAAGGAGAGUUUAAAAUUCCAACUUCAGAAAAAUACAAUGACCAUUAAAUUCAGAAAAGGGAAAGUGCCUCACAUUCAAGACAUUUUUGUGAAAGUUAGGAGAGACUGCAAGCCUGCAGCUCACUUUUUCUCGUAGCUGCAGAUACUGAACAGUGUCCCCUUGUUCUUGACCUUUGUUCAAGAAAAGGGCUGCAGGUUGCCAACAUUUGCAGUCUCUUUUUGACUAACUUUCCCCUGCCCUGUAGCCAUUGUAAUGCCCACGUUUUAACCUAAGGGCAAAUUUGAAUCAUUAGGUAAGUGACAACAGCUUGUCUAAACUGGUAGAUAAGAAAUGUCAAAGCAUAAGGUGCCAUCUGUCCCAGGUUAUGAAUCUAUGUUUGAUCUGUACUCAGUGUCAAAACUCACCUGUAAAGUCAACCAAACUAUAAAGGAAGGCAUGGUAGUAUCUGUUUCCAUUGACAUCAUUCGUUACGAACGUUUUCAAAUGUAAAGAAAAGUUGAAAAUUAUGCAGUGAAUGCCCAUAUAUCUACCAGCUAGAUUCUAUAAUUGUAAGCCUUUUGUUAUAUUAGUUUGAUCAUAUAUCCAUCUAUCCACCAUUAUCUGUCUUAAUUUUUGGUACAUUUUAAAGUAAGUCACAGACUUCAGUUCACUGUAAGUGUCAUUUGGGAAGCCAAAAAAAAAAAAAUGGAGAUGAACUUGUCUGAUUAUAAUUAACUCCUAAAAGAGUCACAAAAUAUGUGAAUUUAUCACAAAACCUAGAUUUCAUCAUGGUUAGAGAGAUCUAACAUGGCUAUUAAUAGCCUCUAAAUUAAUGUAUAUUUUGGGUAUCUUUUGAUCUUUUCCAUAUGACUUUUAGCUAUCCCAGACUACUAUCAUUCACAGACAAUCUUCAGAAUUUCUAUCAUAUUCAAGUACCAUGUGUAAUAUUUUCUUAUUCUCUCUAAAAAAUUUUAUUUUCAGUUAAAUUUAUUUUUAGAGUACAACUUCAUAUUGCUACCAUAAAUGGAAAACCAGUAUGAUUUGUCAUAAACAAGUUGGCCAUAUUUUUUUUCUAUACACAAAAGUAAGUUCAUAUUGUAUACCUUGGCUUGCAUACUAAGGGAAAUACCAAGUUAUAGCCCCCAUCCUUCCCCCUUUCCUUUCACAAAUAUUGGGGGACAAGAAAAGUCAAAUCUGCAUUGGAGGUUAGACACACCGAUGAUAUUAGGCUGUUCUCUUUUUAAGGGACAAAAACACUACAUGUAGACUUGCCUAAGUCUCAUCUUGAGCUCACAAUGGCAAGAGAGAGCAGGGUGAGGAAGGGUUUGUCUGAAGCCCAUCUGAGAUUGUGUCCCAAGUGGAACACAUUCCUCAUGAGCCCUGUGUUUGUCAACCCCAGCUGCUCUGCAGACCCCACACUGGCAGGAACAGAGCCAAAGCCUAAUCCUUGCAGCUUGAGGUUUGGGGACCUAUCAGAGCCAUGGCUCUGACCAUAUUUUCUUUUUCAUUUUGUUUCCUCUUAUUGUUUUAACCCUCUCCUACCAACCUAUCUUCCCCCAACCCCCUCUAUGUUAACAUAGGUGUGGUAGGAGACCAACAACAUACCUAUUUUUCCUUCCUGAAAUUAGAACCAAGACCUAGGAGCCAGACAUAUGGAGAUCAAAAUACCAGAUUUACCACCGGUGAAGUGACCAAAUGUCACAGGAUGAACUUUGGGACCCUUUGUCAAAUGGAACAGGAAAUAGAAGUGUGUAUUGGCAGCCAAAACCAACAUGCAAGGAUUUUCCAGGAGGUUAACUUCUCAGCUUGAGCCCCAGUGUGAACUGAAGAGCCCUCGGAGAGAACUCAUCCCAGAAAGGGGGGAGACAGCACACUGCAUUGGCCUGAGUUCCAAAGCCUCGGAGUCCGAGAAAGAACCUUUUUCUUAGAAGAGGAAAUUCUCCUUCCUGCCUUGUUGAUAAGAACAUGGGGUUCCUAGCAAAUCAAGAAGGACUGGGUCCCAGUAACGGCCUCAUCUUUACUCAGUUAAACGAACCUCCAGAAGGUUGUGUGGGGUCUUUUCAUCUGCCUGGCACUGCUGAGUCCAUUUGGGGACACACAUGCCCCUGAGCUCCAGAAGUGGCCCUGAGUCUGCACCAGAACAGGAUAUUUUUCCCUCACAGCAUCUGCCCCACGUUUCUCCAUCAUGAUGUUUGUCUACAUGCUUACAAUUACUCAGUGAAUUUCUGUUCAAAUUCUGGACCAGUGCCUGACUGCUAUCACCAGGGAAGUGUUAGAAGAGGACUCAUAACCAAGAGCCUGAACGAGAAAGGAAUUUCCAAGAGAGGAGCUACAAACAGGGGCCUUUGCUCUGGCUUCCUGAUUCUUCCCUCUUAGCUCAAGUUAGGAAGUAAUUCACAAGGGAGAAGUGAAGACAGCAUCUUUUCGCUGGUUUCGUUUCUUGAUUUCCCUGCACCCCAGUACGUGGUUUCUGAGGGUGAUGCAGUGAAGGCUGGCAAAACCAUUGUCUGAGUUAAAGCCUGUAAGUACUUUCCUUUUAAAGGGUUUCUCUCUCUCCCCGCCCCCACCCCCAAAUGAGCUGUUUCCCAGUUGCUUGAGAAUUCUUCUGUCUCCUUUCUUAUCAUUUCCUUCUUUUGCAAAAUACUGUUUCCCUCAGGUUUGUUAUGAGUAAAAUUCAGAAAGAACUCAUUUCUAAAAGGGCACUUUUCCCAGAACAAAACCAGGCUUAUAUUAGCCUUUAAAAAACUGAAUAAACCUUAAACAGUUUUAGAGUGGGAAACCUGACAGUGAUAUAUGUACAUGGGUUUAUUUAUUCUUGACCAGGACUACUGUAAUUCCUAUGCCAAUUUUCCUCUUUUUUCUUAUGGUUCCGGCUUCUCCUUCCCAUGUCUCAGGGAGGGAAUUAUGAAGCUGUUCACUAUCCCUCUCUAAGCAUGGCAACUGAAAUAAAAGAAUAAAGGGUCUAAAGAUAAUACACAAUGUGGAUAAUUGAGAAUUGGCUAUAGGCCACUUAUACCCUUGAGAUGGAUUGUACAUAGACUUCUCAUUUUUAAUAUUCUUAGCUGGAAAAAUUUUAAUCACUAAAAUUUGAAAUGGGGAAAGAGAGACCUUAGGUUUUCUUGUUUGUUUCUCAUUGUCCCAUAGGAAAAGUACAGCAUGCUUCCCAUAAAUGAAUGAGUGGCAAAUAGUUAAUGCACUCUCUGUUCUUUUGUUUUUGUUGUUUUGUUUUGUAGCUGAGCAGAAAUACAUUUAAUUAUGUUGCUAGACAAGAAAAGGAGGCUUACUUCAAAGUCAGGCAUAGCCGCACCUGAUUUUCAUUUCCCCUCAUCAAGCAGCAGAGUCCACAAAACAGCAACCCCCUUUUAAAAGCAUUGAGCCCCUGGCAAUUUCGGGAGGUUUCAUGGAAUUAUGCCUGUAGUGUGUCCCCCUAGCCUUGCCAUGAGAUAUACAGGAUGUAAUUCUACCAGUUUUUCUGUAUCUUUAAUAUCUUCUCCAGAGACCUGCUAGAACUGAAAUUCUGUGAGGAGAAACUGUGUUCGUGCCUCUGGGUUUCUGGCUCUUUGUUAAAAGGCAUUGUAUUUGCUUUGCUGUCCUUAGCUUUGAUUCCAUAGUCCUUCUGGUGGCUGGCACAAUGACACAGCAGGCAAGCCAGCUAAAGUGUAUGACUAGUUAGCAAGGGACAGCCUGUCAAACAGCUGUUAGUCGUUAGGCAUUGAUGGAACAUCUCUCUUUCUCUCUUUGCUCCACCUUUUAACAAACUUCACAAGAAGCCUUGACCCAGAGUAAACAUAGCUAUACAUAUAUAUUUUGUCUAGUUUAAUGCACUCUCUUUGCAUCAUUGGGGAAUUUUUGAACCAAACUCCCCCUAGACACAGGACACAAUUUUUGAGAGUUGUUGGAAUUUUCAGGACAUUUAAACAGUGGGAAAAUUAAUGCUGUUUUCUUAAAAAUGAAAAAGAAAAACAUGGGCUGUGUAUGAACUUGACCAACAAAUUUUUAAUUUUGGAAAGAAACGGAAACCAACCUACAGGGUACCACUGGCAGACCUGUCCACCACUGGUUCCGCUUCUCUGAACUCCAAUAUUGACUUGAGAACUUGUCAAGCUCUUUCUCUGAUUUAGAAAUCCCAGGUUCCUAGUAACUGUGGGGGGGAGGGGGGGGAGGGGCUUUCUGAAGACACCUCUCUCAGAUCCACUAAGAGUGGAAUCAACGCAGGAAUUAGGGGUGAGGAAUAAGAUGUACAAGGGUACAUCUGAAUCGACUUCAGGUUAUUAACAAAGAUCAGCAUCGUCAUGAACAGUAUAUGUCUCCUCAUCUUUGUAAUCAUACACAAGUAAAUGAAGCAAAGAAGGGGAGUAAGGAGGAGAGAAAAAAGACUUAAAUAAAAGAACCAUGGUAUGGGGUGCCUGGGUGGCUCAGUCGGUUGAGCGUCUGACUUCAGCUCAGGUCAUGAUCUCGUGGUUUGUAGGUUCAAGCCCUGUGCUGGGCUCCGUGCUGACAGCUCACAGCUGGAGCCUGCUUCAGAUUCUGUGUCUCCCUCUCUCUCUGCCCCUCCCCUGCUCAUGCUCUGUCUGUUUCUCUUUCAAAACUAAACAUUGAAAAAAAAAACUAUGGUAAAUAAAUAAUUGUUAAUUUGCUGUUAGGAAAACAUCCCCACACACCCAACUGUAUACAUCUCCUAGGUCCACACUGGUGACAAUAGAAAGGAAGGAAAGACUGAGGAUUUGUCAUAUGCCCAUGCAUAUCUGAUAACUUCAUAUUUUCUAUCGAGACACAAUGUAUGGAGUUGCUUUUAAGACCUAUCACUAUAAGUACACAUACACAUUUUAUGUUUUAUUUUAAAAUUUUAACAUACAAUUUUUACCUUAUAGAUGCAUUAUUAAGAAAGUCAAUCAAAGGCUUGGAUUGUCCGAAUAUCUCUUUUUCCUCCUCUGAAAAUUCUCUUGGAUAAUAUUGUGUACUGGCAUUUUUGGGAUAUGUCCUAAUACAUUAAAAGAUGAUAGAAUACCAAAAAUUAGAUCAAAGAAAAGUAAGUAUAGGUUGUGACAUGUCAAAGGUUUCUUUCUGUGACAAUAAUAAGAUACUAUUUUAUAUUUAAAUUCUAUAUAUUGAAUUUUUUCUUUAUCCUAGACAGUUGAUAUUGACUGCCUUUUUGAAAUACUUUGAAUAUUUAUGUAUUUGUUUCCAACAUAAUCAAGAAAUGUUUAUUUUUUAAAAUCUUUAUUUAGAUAUUUUUAACUUAUAGAAAAGUUGU